rnacentral:rRNA from 1 species
UACGAAGGGGACUAGCGUUGUUCGGAAUUACUGGGCGUAAAGCGUGCGCAGGCGGCUUUGCAAGACAGAUGUGAAAUCCCCAGGCUUAACCUGGGAACUGCAUUCGAGACUGCAUAGCUAGAGUAUGGGAGAGGGAAGUGGAAUUUCAGGUGUAGCGGUGAAAUGCGUAGAUAUCUGAAGGAACAUCAGUGGCGAAAGCGACUUCCUGGACCAAUACUGACGCUCAUGUGCGAAAGCGUGGGGGAGCAAACAGG